UAUUCCUAUCUGGCAUCUCUUUGAAAACUUCAAUUGCAUCUUUCAUGGACCCACAUUUUGCAUACAUGUCUACAAGAACACUUCCAGAUAAAACACUAGACAUCAAUCCCAGUCUGAUCACAGAAGAACGUAAUUGCUUUCCAAGAGAGACUGAAGUCAAACUUGCCGAAGCCAGAAAAAACACUAGACAUCAAUCCCAGUCUGAUCACAAAAGAAUGUAAUUGCUUCCCAAGAGAGACUGAAGCCAAACUUGCUGAAGCUUUUAAAGUGAUAGCAAAAGUUGCCUGGU
rnacentral:lncRNA from 1 species